rnacentral:rRNA from 1 species
UACGGAGGGGGCUAGCGUUGUUCGGAAUUACUGGGCGUAAAGCGCACGUAGGCGGAUUGGUAAGUUGGGGGUGAAAUCCCGGGGCUCAACCCCGGAACUGCCUUCAAAACUCCCAGUCUGGAGUCCGAGAGAGGUGAGUGGAAUUCCGAGUGUAGAGGUGAAAUUCGUAGAUAUUCGGAGGAACACCAGUGGCGAAGGCGGCUCACUGGCUCGGUACUGACGCUGAGGUGCGAAAGCGUGGGGAGCAAAC